GGUUAGCUCAAUCGGUAGAGCGUGAGACUCUUAGACGCACAGCGCAAUCUCAAGGUUGCGGGUUCGGUUAGUCAGACCAGCAAACCA